rnacentral:rRNA from 1 species
AGAGUUUGAUCAUGGCUCAGAGCUAACGCUGGCGGCGCGCCUAAUACAUGCAAGUCGAACGAGUAGUAAUACUAGUGGCGCACGGGAGAGGAACACGUGGAUAAUCUUCCCUCGAGAGAAGAAUAACCAGUCGAAAGAUUGGCUAAUACUUCAUAAGACCACAGUGACUAAUGUCACAGGGGUAAAAGUCGUAAGACGCUUGAGGAUGAGUCUGCGUCCCAUUAGCUAGUUGGUGAGGUAACGGCUCACCAAGGCUACGAUGGGUAGCUGGUCUGAGAGGAUGAUCAGCCUCACUGGAACUGACACACGGUCCAGACUCCUACGGGAGGCAGCAGUAGGGAAUAUUGCACAAUGGAGGAAACUCUGAUGCAGCGACGCCGCGUGAGUGAUGAAGGACUUCGGUCUGUAAAGCUCUGUUCUCAGGGAAUAAAAAAAUGAAUGUACUGAG